rnacentral:rRNA from 1 species
ACAUCCAGAGAAUUUAGCAGAGAUGCUUUAGUGCCUUCGGGAACUCUGAGACAGGUGCUGCAUGGCUGUCGUCAGCUCGUGUUGUGAAAUGUUGGGUUAAGUCCCGCAACGAGCGCAACCCUUAUCCUUUGUUGCCAGCACGUAAUGGUGGGAACUCAAAGGAGACUGCCGGUGAUAAACCGGAGGAAGGUGGGGAUGACGUCAAGUCAUCAUGGCCCUUACGAGUAGGGCUACACACGUGCUACAAUGGCGCAUACAAAGAGAAGCGACCUCGCGAGAGCAAGCGGACCUCAUAAAGUGCGUCGUAGUCCGGAUUGGAGUCUGCAACUCGACUCCAUGAAGUCGGAAUCGCUAGUAAUCGUAAAUCAGAAUGUUACGGUGAAUACGUUCCCGGGCCUUGUACACACCGCCCGUCACACCAUGGGAGUGGGUUGCAAAAGAAGUAGAUAGCUUAACCUUCGGGAGGGCCGUUUACCACUUUGUGAUUCAUGACUGGGGUGAAGUCGUAACAAGGUAGGCGUAGUGCU